rnacentral:rRNA from 1 species
GACGAACGCUGGCGGCGUGCUUAACACAUGCAAGUCGAACGGAAAGGCCCUGCUUGCAGGGUAUUCGAGUGGCGAAAGGGUGAGUAACACGUGGGUGAACUGCCCUGUUCAUCUGGAUAAGCCUGGGAAAAUGGGUCUCAUACCGCAUAUGAGCGCUCCUUCGUGUGGUGGUUGGUUAGAUUUUUCGGUGUAGGAUGAGCUCGCGGCCUACUAGCGUGUUGGUGGGGUAAUGGCCUACCAAGGCGGGGACGGGUAGCCGGCCUGAGAGGGUGUACGGCCACAUUGGGGCUGAGAGACGGCCCAGACUCCUACGGGGGGCAGAAGUGGGGAAUAUUUCACAAAGUGGGCAAGCCUGAUGUAGCGACGCCGCGUGGGGGAUGUAGGCCUUCGGGUUGUAUACUCCUUUCGCGAGGGACGAAGCGUGUGUGUGACGGUACCUAGAUAAGAAGCACCGGCUAACUACGUG